AAUAACCAAAUAUAACACCGGGGUUAAGGGUCAAAUUGGUAAUUUUUCUUACAUCUCCCCCGCCUGGGGCCCAAGUAUCAUAUAAGCCGCCAAAAUAGAGAGCCUUGAGUACUAGAAGAAAAGCACCUAUACCUAACAAAAUUAAGUGAAUACCCAAAAUUGUAGUCAUUUUAUUUUUAUCUUUCCA
rnacentral:antisense_RNA from 15 species